rnacentral:rRNA from 1 species
UGGCGGCCGCGGGAUUCGAUUAGAGUUUGAUCCUGGCUCAGGACGCAACGCUGGCGGCAUGCCUAAUACAUGCAAGUCGAACGAUGAUAUCACUGCUUGCAGUGAUUGAUUAGUGGCGAACGGGUGAGUAACACGUGAGGAACUUGCCCAUGAGCGGGGGACAACAUUCGGAAACGGAUGCUAAUACCCCAUAGGUGGAUUGGUCGCAUGACUAAUUCAUUAAAGGUGGCUUUGCUACCACUCAUGGAUAGCCUCGCGGCGUAUUAGCUAGUUGGUAAGGUAAUGGCUUACCAAGGCAGUGAUACGUAGCCGACUUGAGAGGGUGAUCGGCCACACUGGGACUGAGACACGGCCCAGACUCCUACGGGAGGCAGCAGUAGGGAAUCUUCCACAAUGGGUGCAAACCUGAUGGAGCAAUGCCGCGUGAGUGAAGAAGUCUUCGGAUCGUAAAGCUCUGUUGUUAGAGAAGAACACGUGCUAGGUAACUACUAGCGCCUUGA